UUGGAAGUUAGAUAGAGAAAGGGUAAACAAACUUGGAAGUUAGAUAGAGAAAGGGUAAACAAACUUGGAAGUUAGAUAGAGAAAGGGUAAACAAACGUGGAAGUUAGAUAGAGAAAGGGUAAACAAACGUGGAAGUUAGAUAGAGAAAGGGUAAACAAACGUGGAAGUUAGAUAGAGAAAGGGUAAACAAACGUGGAAGUUAGAUAGAGAAAGGGUAAACAAACUUGGAAGUUAGAUAGAGAAAGGGUAAACAAACGUGGAAGUUAGAUAGAGAAAGGGUAAACAAA